rnacentral:rRNA from 1 species
UACGUAGGGGGCUAGCGUUGUCCGGAAUCAUUGGGCGUAAAGAGCGUGUAGGCGGCUCGGUAAGUCCGCUGUGAAAGUCGGGGGCUCAACCCUCGAAUGCCGGUGGAUACUGUCGAGCUAGAGUGCGGAAGAGGAUCGCGGAAUUCCCGGUGUAGAGGUGAAAUUCGUAGAUAUCGGGAGGAACACCAGUGGCGAAGGCGGCGAUCUGGGCUGAUACUGACGCUGAGGUGCGAAAGCGUGGGGAGCAAACAGG